CUGAGACCUUCCUGCCCCUUGACUAUUUAGAGGUACAGGUCAUGCGUUACCACGGUCACUGGGCUUCUCUCGGUGUCUUUGGCAUGGUCAGUGAGCAUGCGCCACCUUCACGGACCUGGCUCUGAGACCCACCCGUCGAGAAGCCGCGGCGAGCUGCGGGGUGCUAAGCUGCGGUGAUUGAUGUGAUCCGUUACGAGCCGCCGCACAUCAAGAAGGCUCUGCAGUACACCUGUGGCAACGCGCUGGUGUGUGAGAAUGUGGAGGAUGCACGCAGGAUUGCGUUUAGAGGGCCCUACAGACACAAGGUAGAUGCAAAAAAUAGCGUGUGGAAUAGAAAUAGUGUGUCUAUAUACAUCACAGGAAUAUAGGGAUCAUUCAUAUUCAUGAGAAGCACAGGUGAACACGCUGAUGCGUAUGUAAGCGGCGUUAGAUACACUUGGGGAAAUUGAAAUUGCAUAACAGCUGCUGAUACAUAUGGCUUAUCUCUUUCAUUCAUUCUUAAUCUCAUUCUUUCUGGUGUUCCUUCUAAACGGGCAGUCUUGUUCAGGUCUUCCUCUCUUCUUUUCUCGUUUCUACUGACAGACUGUAGCCCUGGAUGGCACGCUCUUUCAGAAGUCCGGUGUGAUAUCUGGUGUAGCCAAUGACCUGAAGGCCAAGGCCUGGCGCUGAGAUGAGAAGGCGGUCGACAAACUCAAAGACAAAAAAGAGAAGCUGACCGAGGAGCUCAAGGAGCAAAUGAAGGCAAAGAGGAAAGAUGAGCUGAGGCAGGUGCAGUCGCAGGCACACGGCUUACAGAUGAGGCUGAAAUACUCCCAGAGUGACUUGGAACCUCACACACACACACACACAC
ensembl:lncRNA